AGUAAUGCUUGGGAAUAUGCCGAGUGGUGGGGGACAACAGUUGGAAACGACUGCUAAUACCGCAUAAUGUCUACGGACCAAAGGGGGGGCUUCUUCGGAACCUCCCGCCAUUUGAUUAGCCCAAGUGAGAUUAGCUAGUUGGUGAGGUAAUGGCUCACCAAGGCGACGAUCUCUAGCUGGUUUGAGAGGAUGAUCAGCCACACUGGGACUGAGACACGGCCCAG
rnacentral:rRNA from 1 species